GCGGAUAGCUCAGUUGGUUGGAGCGUGGUGCUGUUAACGCCAAGGUUGCAGGUUCGAUCCCCGUAUGGGAGAGAUGCA